AAAAAGACAAACCCUGAUUUCCGUGUACAACGUUUGACUAUCCGUCUUAUAUAAUUUUUUUAUAAUUAGUAUUUUCAUUGUUGUUAGAUGAUAAAACAUGAUUAAUAUUUUAUGCAUGACUUGUCUUUUUUAAUUUUUUUCAUAAUUUUUUCAAAUAAGAUGGAUGGUUAAAUGUUGGACUCGGAAACCCAGGGUU
rfam:Oryza sativa (indica cultivar-group) chromosome 2, whole genome shotgun sequence.